GAAGAUUAUGUGGGCAAGGGUCACUCGCUCCUUGCCCUACAAGUAGGGCAUGCGCAGACUGUUGCCAUUAGGUAAUGGUUAGGCGGUGUUUGGUUGCUAUGCAGGCAUCACCUUAUACUGCAUACUGGCCCUACGUAGUGUAAUGUGGAACUGAUAAAAUGGGGUGUCUGGACUGCUGAGUUGAGCGAUACUCAUCCUACCACCGAGACUUUGGAAGAACUCGUGUUGGGAAAGA